rnacentral:tRNA from 4 species
GCGGAUGUGGCGAAAUUGGUAGACGCACUAGACUUAGGAUCUAGCGCUGAAAGGCAUGGGGGUUCGAGUCCCUCCAUCCGCACGA